rnacentral:rRNA from 1 species
CCUACGGGUGGCAGCAGUGAGGAAUAUUGGUCAAUGGCCGGAAGGCUGAACCAGCCAUGCCGCGUGAAGGUCAGUGCCCUAUGGGCGUUAAACUUCUUUUGUGCGGGAGCAAUAAUGGUCACGUGUGGCCAGACGAGAGUACCGUACGAAUAAGCAUCGGCUCACUCCGUGUCAGCAGCCGCGGUAAUACGGGGGAUGCAAGCGUUAUCCGGAGUUAUUGGGUUUAAAGGGUGCGUAGGCUGUGAGGUAAGUCAGCGGUGAAAUGCCCCCGCUCAACGGGGUGAAGUGCCAUUGAUACUGCCAUGCUGGAAGGCGGAUGCGGUGGGGGGAAUGGGUGGUGGAGCGGUGAAAGGCAUAGAUAUCACACGGAACACCGAUUGCGAAGGCAUCUCACGAAUCCGCGAUUGACGCUGAGGCACGAAAGCGUGGGUAUCAAACAGGAUUAGAUACCCUAGUAGUC